rnacentral:rRNA from 1 species
GCUCAGAUUGAACGCUGGCGGCAGGCCUAACACAUGCAAGUCGAGCGGUAACAGAGAGUAGCUUGCACCUUUGCUGACGAGCGGCGGACGGGUGAGUAAUGCUUGGGAACAUGCCUUGAGGUGGGGGACAACAGUUGGAAACGACUGCUAAUACCGCAUAAUGUCUACGGACCAAAGGGGGCUUCGGCUCUCGCCUUUAGAUUGGCCCAAGUGGGAUUAGCUAGUUGGUGAGGUAAUGGCUCACCAAGGCGACGAUCCCUAGCUGGUUUGAGAGGAUGAUCAGCCACACUGGGACUGAGACACGUCACGCC